AAGUGGGGAUGACGUCAAAUCAUCAUGCCCUUAUGACCUGGGCUACACACGUGCUACAAUGGGCGGUACAAAGGGCUGCGAACCCGCGAGGGGGAGCGAAUCCCAAAAAGCCGCUCUCAGUUCGGAUUGCAGGCUGCAACUCGCCUGCAUGAAGCCGGAAUCGCUAGUAAUCGCGGAUCAGCAUGCCGCGGUGAAUACGUUCCCGGGCCUU
rnacentral:rRNA from 1 species